rnacentral:rRNA from 1 species
GACGUAGGGGGCGAGCGUUGUCCGGAAUCAUUGGGCGUAAAGGGCUCCUAGGCGGUUCAGUAAGUCGACUGUGAAAAUCCAAGGCUCAACCUUGGGACGCCAGUCGAUACUGCUGUGACUCGAGUUCGGUAGAGGAGUGUGGAAUUCCUGGUGUAGCGGUGAAAUGCGCAGAUAUCAGGAGGAACACCAACGGCGAAGGCAGCACUCUGGGCCGAUACUGACGCUGAAGAGCGAAAGCGUGGGGAGCAAACAGG